UAGGAGCCCCGGGGGGCCGCAGAGAAAUGGCCCAGGCGACUGUUUAGCAAAAACACAGCACUAUGCAAACCUCUAAGGGGAAGUAUAUGGUGUGACGCCUGCCCAAUGCCAAAAGGUUAAAGGGAUAUGUCAGCUGCAAAGCGAAGCAUUGAACCUAAGCCCUGGUGAAUGGCCGCCGUAACUAUAACGGUGCUAAGGUAGCGAAAUUCCUUGUCGGGUAAGUUCCGACCUGCACGAAUGGUGUAACGAUCUGGGCACUGUCUCAACGAAAGACUCGGUGAAAUUGUAGUAGCAGUGAAGAUGCUGUUUACCCGCGAAAGGACGAAAAGACCCCGUGAACCUUUACUGUACUUUGGUAUUGAUUUUUGGUUUGUUAUGUGUAGGAUAGCCAGGAGACUAGGAACACUCUUCUUCAGGAGAGUGGGAGUCAACGUUGAAAUACUGGUCUUAACAAGCUGGGAAUCUAACAUUAUUCCAUGAAUCUGGAAGAUGGACAUUGCCAGACGGGCAGUUUUACUGGGGCGGUAUCCUCCUAAAAAGUAACGGAGGAGCCCAAAGCUUAUUUCAUCGUGGUUGGCAAUCACGAGUAGAGCGUAAAGGUAUAAGAUAGGUUGACUGCAAGACCAACAAGUCGAGCAGAGACGAAAGUCGGGCUUAGUGAUCCGGCGGUGGAAAGUGGAAUCGCCGUCGCUUAACGGAUAAAAGGUACUCCGGGGAUAACAGGCUGAUCGCCACCAAGAGUUCAUAUCGACGUGGCGGUUUGGCACCUCGAUGUCGGCUCAUCGCAUCCUGGGGCUGGAGAAGGUCCCAAGGGUUUGGCUGUUCGCCAAUUAAAGCGGUACGCGAGCUGGGUUCAAAACGUCGUGAGACAGUUUGGUCUCUAUCCUUCGUGGGCGCAGGAUACUUGAGAGGAGCUGUUCCUAGUACGAGAGGACCGGAAUGGACGAACCAAUGGUGUGUCGGUUGUUUUGCCAAGAGCAUAGCCGAGUAGCUACGUUCGGAAAGGAUAAGCA
rnacentral:rRNA from 1 species